AUGCAAAGAAAACAAGAAAUAGUAACUUUAUUAAUUCCAACUACAUGCACUUUAAAUAUAAAUUUAUAUAUACAUGAUAUAUACACAAGUCAUUGCACAUUUGUGUUCUUCAUAGACACCAUGACAUAUACUCCUUCCACAAGCAUCAUCAUUGAACAAAAAGUAACUGCAAUUCCAUUCUUUUUUUCUUCAAUCAAUUAUAUUCUUAGAGAAAAAAAACUCGAAAGGAACAUCGAAAAUUUUUGCUCAGAGCUAAUCACAAAUCACAAAUGCUAUCAAAAUUCCAAUACUCAAUUUUAA